rnacentral:rRNA from 1 species
GUCUACGGCCAUUCCACCCUGAACACGCCUGAUCUCGUCUGAUCUCGGAAGCUAAGCAGGGUUGGGCCUGGUUAGUACUUGGAUGGGAGACCACUUAGGAAGACCAGGGGCUGUAGGUG